UUUUUUGGUGUGAUUGUGGUUCGGCGUGUUCUAAAGAAAAAAUAUGUUUCAAUCUUUGAUAAAAAUUGCGAGAAGAUCUUUUCUAUUCGCAAUUACGCCAACUCUUGUAAUUCACUGCCACUGAAACACAGGUAUAGUGUUAUCAUGCAACUCAAUUAUUAUUUUAUCCAUUGGGUUGUAUGCUGGAUGGUUGGUGAUUUUGAAAUUUAAGCUUAGACUUUUGUUUGACUAUGAUCUGUUGGUUGUAAUUUGUGUUAUCUUUCCUCCUAAGCUAAACAAGCUAAACAAUUUUAUAUGAGAAAUUGCUCACUGAAAGACUUUGUUUUGGUAACCAUAUCAUUGGUGAUGAAUAACAUGCAUUUUGGCAUAUAAAAAAACAGUGAUAUAUCAUUGUUUAAAACAUUAGUGGUAGCUGAUGCAGGACAUUUGGCCAAUGAAUCUUCUCCUCACAGAUAAGCUUUCUUUUAUCUUUUCCUGCCAUCCUUUUCAUUAUUAUGAUUGUGGAAUUAUUACAAUUGUUAAUCAUAUUCUCUUGGCUACUGCAGAUGACUACACCUUUAUUAGAAGUAUUCAAGCUACUUCUCAUGUGACUGGCAGUGUCAUAGAAGAUAACAAUGAAGAUGGGAAAGAAACAAAGACCAAAGAGACACUAGGCAAGUGGAAGCAACAUGUACCCAUUUAUCUUAUAUUGCAAUUGUGGACAAUUAAGAGAAGCAUUGUGGAAGUAAAAGAAAAAGCAUAUAGACUUCAAAAGAAAAUGACGUUGCUCAUGAGGAGGAUAUAAUUCUUUCUUUUAUUUCACUAAUUUUUUUUAAUUAUAAUAAUAUUGAAUCACAUUUUUCUUUCUUUUUUAUGUUUAAAACGAUGCGUUCAUGACCUUUAUGUCACCAACAUGAGUGGUUGUACUGAUGAUGCAGAAGAUAACAAUGAAGAUGGGAAAGAAACAAAGACCAAAGAGACACUAGGCAAGUGGAAGCAACAUGUACCCAUUUAUCUUUUCCUAGCGUGCAUAUAAGCCGCAAAAGGAGUAACAAGUGAAAAACGAAAACUAAUGAAGAUGCAAAGGUUGAUGUUGAGCACUCCCUAUAUCGCCUGAAAGAACUUCUUUCAUAUUUAAAACAGUUGAGUCAGGAAGAAAUGACCGAGGAAACAAUAGAGGCUAACAAACAAGGCAUAUGUUCCUUGAAAAAUUUCAGUUUAGUUUUUUAUGUGUAGAUCUAUGUUGUUUCAUGAAUAAAUGUUUACCUAAUCAUUUUGAAGAGGAGUUCAUAUCUUACUUGCCGUAUAAAGAAUAUACAUAUCCUGUAAGUGGUUCUCUUAACUAAUCAAAUCAAAUGAUGUAUUUUGACUUUUUGGUGGAAAUUUGGAUUUUAAGGUAAACGUGUUGACUCAUUCCUAAAUGAAAUUGGGUUUUGAGAAUGUUACUACCAUUGAGAAAUUGAUGCCAAAGAACUUUGAGCAAGACAAGAGGGAACUACAUGAUAUCCAUCAAGGAUGUGGAGGCUAGUGACAUUAUUUCUUCAGACACUGACGCUAAUGAUGAUGGAGCGUCUUCUGGGUCAAAGCUCAAAGAAGUUGAAAAAGGUACAAUGGAGCAAAGAGAUAGUUUGUUAGAUGCAGUGGAUUCUUUGGAUGGUGCUCUUUGUGAUCUCAUUAUCCCAAAAUUUAGAGAGUUUGAAAACUAAUAAAUAAGGGAGUCAGAGGAGGGGAGUUAGAGAGAGAUAUGAAUUAUGGGAUGUUACAUAAUGCGUCUUGAUUUUUCUUGAUUGCUGGUAUUGUUAACAGGUGAAGAAAAUGGUUAUACAUAAUGUGGAUGAUGCAGUCAAAAGUUUGAAAAACUCUACAUCUGCUAUAGUUAGCUGUUAGCCACAUAAGGUCUACCUUGUGUAAGGGGAUUGAAUACUUGAACUUCUCUCACUUCUAGGCUAAAUUUUUUAAAUUAAUUGCACCUCGUAUAAGAUAUCCUGUUUUUAAAUUAGCCACAUAAGGUCUACCUUCAGUUAAACCUCGUAUAAGAUAUCCUAUAUAAGAUCUACCUUCAGUUAAACCUCGUAUAAGAUAUCCUAUUUUUUACUAUUUUUAUUGUAUGUUUUGUUGGAUUAUAGGUCCAGUUUUUCUCUCAUCUUAUGUCCUAGUUAAUGCUAAUUUCUUAGAAUUAUUAAUUUCAUCUCAUAUAUGUUCCGUUUUUAAUUUGCUUUUGGGAUGUACGUUACAUGGUCUCGCUCUCGGAGCUAAGUAUAGCAGAGCUAAAUGACUUAGAUGGAGUGUGGUCGUACCGGUUGGGAAUUAUUUAAUUUAUUGUCGUCCUGUAGUUAUUCUCGUGUUUUAUAGCUGUUUACUUACCUUUUUUGAAGUAACAACUGCAAGACGUAAAUAUUUGCCCUUCACAAACACUGUCAUACAUGCAAUUUUGACUUUUGUCUAGCCAGUUGUCGUGACUUUUGUGAUGCACUGCUUCGAGGUGGUCUUGAUCCAAUUGAGUCACUGCCAAGCUUGGGGUUCACAAACGGCCAAGAUCUAAUAGGCAUGAGGAUAGUGAUGACAAAGUUUGCUAGAUGAAGCAGACAAAUUUGUAAACAAACACAAGCAUCACAAUCCUAUGAUUGCAGAUGAAAUUCAUAAGAACUUGCAUUCAUGUCUGAAUCGUAAGGCAUCAUCUCGUGAAGAGUUAAGCAACAACGAUAUAUAUUACCCGAAGGCUAAAAAUGUACAUCCUGUGAGAAUUUACUACAUUUUCAAUGGCACUGGAGAAAAGGAGAGCCAUUAAUUGUUAGAAACCUGCUUGGAGGUACAUAUAAUUCAUUAUGGGAACCAUCAGGAAUAAGUCGUACAAUUCUUCUGAAGUACAAGAUUGUGAAGGCCAUUGGGGUAUUUUGGACGACUUUCUCAAAAAAUUCUAUUAUUUUUUUCUUUUUCCAUUCUAAUGCCAGACAGACUAGGGUAAAUCAUAUCUGGUUUGUUCUAUUAUCUGUAAAUAGUAAUUUUUGCAUUUUUAAUUUGAGUUGUUGAUUGAGUGCAGAAAGUUGUUAAAACCAAUAGGUUCUUUACUGGGUACACUAAAGGUUGCAAGCAUAAGUAAAUUGCCUCACAUGUUGAAGUUGAAAGAUUGACCUCCUUCUAAAUCAUUUAAGGAAUGUUUACCUAAUCAUUUUGAGGACCAGGUUGACACCCUGUAAGUGGUUCUUUUAGCCUUGUCGUAAAGUUGCCUGAUGGUUGUCUGAAUCCAGACUUCGAUGUGGUGAUUAUGUGACAAAGCUUCAUUGUGACAGGUCUGGUAAAGUAAACGUGUUGAUUCAUCUUGCUGAAGUGAAAUUGAUGCCAAAGAACCUUGAGCAAGACAAGACUGAACUACAUGAUAUUCAUUAGGAUGGGGAGGCUAAUGAUAUUAUUUCUUUAGACACCGACGCUAAUGAUGAUGGCGCGUCUUUUGAGUCAAAGCUCAAAGAAGUUGAAAUGGGUACAGUGGAGCUAGGAGAUAGUUUGUUCGAUGCAAUACAUUCUUUGGAUGGUGCUCUCUGAGAAAUUUUUCGAAGAAAUAAGGUACCUAAAUUGGAGAGAUAUUUCAAUAAGCAUUUCAGAGAGUUUAGUCAAUCUGAUUGUCUUCCUUUAAACAGGUAUUUUGCAUUUUCUAUUUGGAUGCACCUUGUUUGUGAUCAAUUUUAUUAGGAGAAACCCAAGCCCGACAUUGACUAGAUUUUGGUCUCAAAAGAGUUUGUGGAAAAAUAUACUGAAUAUAAUAUCAAAUGUAAUUUAGUGUACAAAUGCUAAUAUUUUUAAUUAGACUAUUCUAAACUUAAUGUUAACGGGCCUGAUAAUUUGAGGUGGGGAGAUUAUUAACAAAUAGCAAUCCAUGAUCAGACCUUUUAUUGGACUACGAAGCAUAAGAAGAAGCUUAAGGAGGAGUAUGGUUAGUAAUGUUAUAUGAAUUUUUCAGGGGGUUGGGCUUGUUUGGUCAAUCAAAUUGUACCAUUUUUGUUGAUAGUUUGACACUCAAUUGUAGAGAUUCAGCCCUGGACCUUCAGUCAGAAUCUAGGCGAUGAUGUUUUCAUUCCAGCUGGAUGUCCUUAUCAAGUCAGAAAGUAAAAUUUACCUUCACAGUGAAGUUUUUCUUGUUUGUCUAGAAUUGUAUGUAUUUUGUGAAGUUUUGCUAGGAAUAAGGAAUAACCAAUAACAAUACUAGGUUUAGCAUGAGUAAUUUUUGGCUUAUAGCAUUUUUUAUUCAACAGACUAUUGAUAUUUGUUAAAAGAGUGAAAAGAGAGACAUAUGUUGAAUGAAUUUUGUGUGUCUAAACCAAGAUCACACACCUUCUAUAUAUAGAGUAUAUACAACAAUUACAUUGAUUACCUCCAUUCUUAGAGCAUGAACUAGGAUUCUUCGUUCAGGUAUCAGAACAUGAUUCAAAAUUCUUCUUUCAGGUAUCAGAACAUGAUUCAAAAUUAUUCUUUCAGGUAUCAGAGCAUUUCACGUAUCAGAGCAUGAUUGCUUAUCUGAUAUUAGAGCAUGAUUAUCAAAGCAUGCUUUCUGAUAAGAGUUUUGAGCAAAGCUUGAUUUCCCCUUAUUCAUAUUUCUUCUAGUCUCAGAGUUUGAAAUUUUGUCUAUGAUUUCCUCAGAGCAUUUGAUUAUUAUUCCUGGUUAACAUCUUUUAGUGAACUUUCAAAUAUGUUUUUCUCAUUUGUUAUUAGAUAUUAGCUUAUAUAUAUAAUUACCAAUGCAGCCCGGAUAUUCACUUUGUACUUUCACCGGUCAUUUUGCAUCUAUUAUGUCACUAGAUUUUCACCCUAAUAAAGAGGAUAUUAUCUGUUCUUGUGACUUCGAUGGCGAGAUAAGAUAUUGGAGUAUUAAUAAACGCAGUUGUGCUAGAGUGUCAAAGGUAGUAUUUUAGCAUUGUCUUACUUUAUUCACAACUUUCUGUUUUAGUAAUUUGUCAAAACUGAAUUUUUCUUUUUUACCAAUUAGAUUUUGCAAUGUGCGUACCAUCAUGUUUAUUGCUUUCUGUUGAAAUUUUGUUUUAUUUGAUUGAAUAAAACGCUCUGUAGGAGAAAAUGUAUCAGUGGAUUCUUAGACAACAACAAGAAGGAAUGAGGGUGACUACAAUUGAUAUAGUUUCUCACUUGCAGGUUUUGUUUUCUGCUCUCUGAUAUUUUUACUGUUUUCUGUAGGUUUUUUUGGGGUUUUGUGCUGCACCAUUACUCAUUCAAUGGGAAAGCUACUCUUUUUUUUUCAAUCCAAAUUCCUACUAAGGUAUUUCAAACCUCGGUUGUAUUAUCUAAUUUAUUAACCAGCUAUAGCUAAACUAUGACGUUAUAGGGGAAUUUAGAGAAACUACUACUAUUGUUCUACUGUGAUACGUCGUUUAGUACAAAGUGGUGGCAAUAGUGUCACUAUAGUGGUGGCAAUAAUGGACCCAAAUAUCUAUCGCUUCAUUCACUUGUUCUAGACCAAAUUGGUUAAGCUUUUGGUGUUAGAAUAGUUAUUGAUGAUGGAUGUACAAGAAAAUCUUUUAUCUUGCUUCUUAAAUUUCUUGCAAAUGGAAUACCGUAGCCGUUUAUUUUCUGUCCAUGUUUUUUUUAUCCGCGUAAGAGUUAGGUUCCAAGGGAAUAUGAGGGAGCCUUGGAGUUGCUACAGUGCAACAUAAGUUCAGUUCGGUCAGGAUUCAAACUUACAUUAGAGCCUUGGAGUUGCUACAGUGCAACAUAAGUCCAGUUCGGUCAGGAUUCAAACUUACAUUAGCUUUUGAAUUGAAAUGAGUUUCUCAAUAAAAAAUUGCUGGAAAAAUAUAUUAAAAGAAUCUCACAAUAGUUAUAAGCAUUUGAACCAUAGUUUAUAGUGUAAGUUGAAAUUGACAUCUGCAUACCAAUUUUUUCUUAAGCUCACGUAUUUAACUUCUUCACCAACGUAUAUAAACUUAGUAGCUUGCCAGGAUUUUUCUUCAAGUUAAGUAAGGUCUAUAAACUUAUUUUAAUUGAGAAAUUUCCAUGCAUAUUAGAACUUCAGAAGAACAGAAGCUGAUUCAAGUAGGGUCUUAACUUAUAACUUGUAAAGAAGUCCUUAUAUGUUUCAUAGGUGAUUACUGGAAGUUAAAUGAAAGAGCUUCCGAAAAAAUUGAGAUGCAGAAGUUGGUUUUAAUUUUUAAGAGAAGUUGUUAGUUAAAUACUCAUGGUUAUUGCAAGAUCAUUUCAACCUUUUCUAUUUUCAGUAUGUGUUUGCUGAAAAUUUUGUCCUACCAGCUCUAUGAGAUGGCUUUGAACAUGAUGUUAAUUUCUUGCAACCACAAUGUAAGACUCUGUAUAAUAGAUUCACAAUAAGUCCGACCUUUUAUUGGAUUUUGCAAGACCAGGAUUUUUAUAGCAUCAUAAGAUAUUGCUCUUAUACUAUGUGUCAAGCCGAUCUUGAUUGUUGAACUGUAGUACUCUUUUUCUGGCUUCACUUGUACAGUAAUCUUCCAUAUAUUAUAUCCUACAUUUAUAUUACUGCAGAUUAUCAAUAUAGAAUAAUUCUGUCUUUGAAUAACCUUUUGAUUUAUAUUGAGCUUGAAUAUGGAACAGAGGAGUCACCAGUGUCCCGAAGGCAGUCAAUUCAACAGAACUCCCAGAGUGCAAUUCAAACUAAUUUUGGUGCAUCCAUACAGUCUAAUGCAUUUGAAAGUACUGUUGCAGGACACGUAAUGCGCCCUGGGCCAACUGAUCAAGCCAAGAACUAUGUGUUCUCAAAUGCACUCUCUAGCCUCAUCCGUCGCAGCCUUCAGCCAUAUCAUUUCAGAUGAAUUUGUUGGUUUGAAGAUAUUAUAAUGGAUUGUGGUUAAUUGUAAUUGCCAAAAUUGGAUGGAGCUGCCUCUCAUAUGCUGGUGAAUCAAGUUAAUGACCAUGCACAUUAAAAAAUAUAAUUUAAAGUCUACAAUCUUACAAUCUGUAAGCGGACCAUAGCCACCGGUUAUUCAUUGAAGAAAUAUAGAAACUUAAUUUGUUACAUCUUUGUUUAUAUUACAUGAGUUUGCAAAUAUUUAAUUAGGGCUUCGUGAUCCUCGGACUUGGAGUAAGGAUUCUCUCCAUUUCUAAAAAGAAUGAAAGUGUCAAUUAUUAUAAUUUUGGUGUAUAAAUGUGCAAUUAAUAUCACCAUUUUUAGAAAU